GUGCUCACUUCAGCAGCACAUAUAGUAAAAUUGGAAUGAUACAGAGAAGAUUAGCAUGGCCCCUACGCAAGGAUAUUUUUUAGAGUUAGAAAAAAUAAUAGCAAAAUU